rnacentral:misc_RNA from 1 species
AACGCACGAGACCUGCGGACCUGCGGAGGGAUCAUUAAUGAGAAACUGCCCCUCGCGGGUAGAUCUCCCACCCUUUGUAAACUUACCUUUGUUGCUUUGGCAGGCCCGUCUCCGGACCGCCGGCCUCGGCUGGCCAGUGCCUGCCAGAGGAUUCUAAAACUCUGUCUGUCAGUGUUGUCUGAGUCUAUAUACAAUCGUUAAAACUUUCAGCAACGGAUCUCUAGAUCGGAAGAGCACACG